UACGUAGGGGGCGAGCGUUGUCCGGAAUUACUGGGCGUAAAGCGCGCGUAGGCGGAUAAUUAAGUCAGAUGUGAAAACUCUGGGCUCAACCGAGAGCAUGCAUCUGAUACUGGAUAUCUUGAGUGUAGAAGAGGAGAGUGGAAUUCCUAGUGUAGCGGUGAAAUGCGUAGAUAUUAGGAGGAACACCAGUGGCGAAGGCGACUCUCUGGUCUAUAACUGACGCUGAGGCG
rnacentral:rRNA from 1 species